rnacentral:rRNA from 1 species
AGUGAACGCUGGCGGUAGGCCUAACACAUGCAAGUCGAACGGCAGCACAGUAAGAGCUUGCUCUUACGGGUGGCGAGUGGCGGACGGGUGAGGAAUACAUCGGAAUCUACUUUUUCGUGGGGGAUAACGUAGGGAAACUUACGCUAAUACCGCAUACGACCUACGGGUGAAAGCAGGGGAUCUUCGGACCUUGCGCGAUUGAAUGAGCCGAUGUCGGAUUAGCUAGUUGGCGGGGUAAAGGCCCACCAAGGCGACGAUCCGUAGCUGGUCUGAGGGGAUGAUCAGCCACACUGGAACUGAGACACGGUCCAGACUCCUACGGGAGGCAGCAGUGGGGAAUAUUGGACAAUGGGCGCAAGCCUGAUCCAGCCAUACCGCGUGGGUGAAGAAGGCCUUCGGGUUGUAAAGCCCUUUUGUUGGGAAAGAAAAGCAGCAGGUUAAGACCCCGCUGUUCUGACGGUACCCAAAGAAUAAGCACCGGCUAACUUCGU